rnacentral:rRNA from 1 species
UACGAAGGGGGCUAGCGUUGUUCGGAUUUACUGGGCGUAAAGCGCACGUAGGCGGAUCGUUAAGUCGGGGGUGAAAUCCUGGAGCUCAACUCCAGAACUGCUUUCGAUACUGGCGAUCUAGAGUCCGGAAGAGGUGAGUGGAACUCCUAGUGUAGAGGUGGAAUUCGUAGAUAUUCGCAAGAACACCAGUGGCGAAGGCGGCUCACUGGCCCGAUACUGACGCUGAGGCUCGAAAGCGUGGGGAGCAAACAGG